rnacentral:rRNA from 1 species
CCUACGGGUGGCUGCAGUGGGGAAUAUUGGACAAUGGGCGGAAGCCUGAUCCAGCAAUACCGCGUGUGUGAAGAAGGCCUGAGGGUUGUAAAGCACUUUCAAUAGGAAGGAAUACCUAUCCAUUAAUACUGGGUAGACUGACAUUACCUAUACAAUAAGCACCGGCUAACUCCGUGCCAGCAGCCGCGGUAAUACGGAUGGUGAAAGCGUUAAUCGGAAUUGCUGGGCGUAACCUCGUCAAAGCAGAUGUGAAAGCCCCGGGCUUAACCUGGGAAUGGCAUUUGAUACUGGCGAGCUAGAGUUGAGUAGAGGGGAGUGGAAUUUCAGGUGUAGCGGUGAAAUGCGUAGAGAUCUGAAGGAACACCAGUGGCGAAGGCGACUCCCUGGACUCAAACUGACGCUGAGGUACGAAAGCGUGGGUAGCAAACAGGAUUAGAUACCCCAGUAGUC